AAGCACAGCCAUGGCUAGAGAAUGAUAAUGAGUGAAUUGUUAGCAGGCUAAUAAUGAUUAGCCAGAAUGAUGGGGACGCUUCUCUGCAGAUAUUUGAGCUGAGACUGAGGUGAUGAAAAGGAACCGGACAUACAGACAUCUGGGAGAAAGUUGUUUCAGGAAGAGACAACAGAAGGUGCAAAGUUCCAGACUUUUGAGUGAGGUUGGCAUGCUUCAGGAACCAAAAGAGGUCCACCUACGUGUCUGACCUACGGCAAGGGAAGUGGAUAUCUCAGGAGAGCACGGGUUCUAGGCGUGCGGGCUUCAGGAGUUGUGGCGCAUGGGCCUACGUGCUCCGAGGUUCUAGGGCUUGUACAUCUGCAGGCAGUGCCAUGUGUGUGGAGUGCCAGAGAGGAACACAGCAGGUGAAAGUAGACAAGGCAAACCUCUUCCUCUUUGGCAAUUUCUGACUGCAUGCUCCAAGGGACUUGCUGCAGGAUAGCAAAGGCUGGUUGGGACACGCUAUGUGAGACGUUAUCAGUCUCCCAAGAGCAAAGCAGUGAGUGGCAAGCAAGAAGGAGAGCGUGAGAGAGAGGUCAAGUCUGACCUGCCAGAGGGUGAAUACUGGUUGCAGCAGUGAUGCCAGGAGACUGUUUUGGGUGGGACUUGAGGUGAGGAACACAAGUCUGGGACUCCACCAUACACUGAAGCCCUGGAAGGAGAGCAAGGAGCGUACAGGGGGUGGGGCAAAGUCACCAACAUGGUCCCAAACUGGCGGCACCCCCUCGUUACUGUUAAAAGCAAAAGCAAAUCUUCUCUGCAAGAAAAAUUCUCCAGUCUCCAUGUUAAGCCUGCAGAUGUUCCAUCUAUUAUAACAAACAGCGAGCUCACAAAGAUCAACUAGAAAGAGAAGGCAUGUGGGAUCUCAACUCCCCAACCAGAGACUGAGUCCACCACACCCCCUGCAUUGGAAGGUGAAGUCAACCACUGGACCACUGGGAUCCAGCUUUGCCCAGGGAUCAAACCCAAGCCGCCUCCAUUGGGAAGUGGGAGCCUUAGCCGCUGGACCACCGGGGACAUCCCUCUCACUGUCAUUUUGAUUCAAUUUCCCUGCUGCUGCUGCUGCUGCUAAGUCGCUUCAGUCGCGUCUGACUCUGUGCGACCCCAGAGACGGCAGCCCACCAGGUUCCCCCGUCCCUGGGAUUCUCCAGGCAAGAACACUGGAGGGGGUUGCCAUUUCCUUCUCCAAUGCAUGAAAGUGAAAAGUGAAAGUGAAGUCGCUCAGUCGUGUCCGACUCCUAGCGACCCCAUGGACUGCAGCCUACCAGGCUCCUCCAUCCAUGGGAUUUGCCAGGCAAGAGUACUGGAGUGGGGUGCCAUUGCCCUCUCCCUAAUGACUAGCAAUUUGGCACAGUUUUUCAUGUGUAUAUUUGUCAGAUACAUAUCUUCUUUGAUGUCAUGUCUGUUCAAAUCUUUAGCUCAUUUUUCUACUGGGUUGUUUGUUUUUUAUUAUUGAGUUUUAAGAUACUACUGUUGACUGAAUUGUGUCCCCACAAAUUCAUACGUUGAAGCACUAACCCCCUAUCCCACUACUUCAUGUAUUUGGAAACAGAAGUUUUAGAGGUUAAUUAAGAUUAAUGAGGUCAUAAGGUUGGAGUCUAAGAAUUGGUGGCCUUACAGGAAGGUAGUGCCUGGGCCCUGAGGACAGGCUUUGUGAGGACACGGGAAACAGGCUGAUGCUACGGGCCAGAAAUAGAGUCCUCACCAGCGCUCAGCCCUGCUGGCACUCUGAUCUCAGAUUUCUAGACUCCAGAACUGAGAGAAAAUAAAUUUCUGCUGGUUAAGCCACCCAGUCAAUGGAAUUUUUGUUAUGAAUCCUGAGCACACGAGAUGGAUUACAUAUAUCUGAUACGUAUGGAUAUGUAGACAUACACCCACAUGUAUGUAACAUAUGCAUUUUUCUUAUUACAAGCCCUUAUGAGAUAUAUGCUUUGCAAAUACUUUCUCACAGUCUCAGGCUUUUCCUUCCAUUUUAAAAACUGUUUAUAGAAGAACAGAUGUUUUUAGUUUUGAUAAAGUUCAAUUUAUUAAUUCUUUCCUUUUGGAAACAUGCUUUGUGUGUCAAAUAUAAGAAAACAUCGCCUAACUCAAGGUCCCAAAGAUUUUCUCCUGUGUUUUCCCUUAGGAAUUUUAUAGGUUUAUGUUUUAGGUUUCAGUCUGUAAUUAAUUUUGAGUUAAUUUGUGUUUCAUGCAAAGUAUGAAGCAAAGUACAGUGGGGGUUUUCUUCAUGUAGAAAUACAGUCACUACAUAUUGUAGCUUUAUAAUAAAUUUUGAAGUCAUGUAGUGUUAGUCUUCCAACUGUAUUCUUCUUUUUUCAAAGUUGUUUUGGCUACUGUAGGUCUGCAUUUCUAAAUAAAUUUUGGGAUCACUGUGAUUUUCUUUUUUAAAAUAUUUAUUUUGCUGCACAGGGUCUUAGUUGCAGACUAUGGGAUCUUAGUUCCCUGACCAGGGACUGAACUCGGGCCCCUUGCAUUUGGAGCAUGGAGUCUUAACCACUGGACACCCAGGGAAAUUCCUCAAUUAAAAAAAUAUAUAUAUCUGCUGGGAUUUUGAUUGAGAUUUCAUUGAAUAUAUACACCACUUGGGGGGAAUUAACAUUUUAGCAAUGGUGGGUGUUUCUGAUCUUUGAACACAGUGCAUGCGUGCUAGGUCACUUCAGUUGUGUCCACCUCUUCAGGACACUAUGGACUGUAGCAUGCCAGGCUCCUCUGUCCAUGGGAUUAUCCAGGCAAGAAUACUGGAGUGGAUUGCCGUGCCCUCCUCCAGUGGAUCUUCUCCACCCAGGGAUCAAACCUGUACCUCCUGCAUUGCAGGUACAUUCUUUACCCCUGAGCCACCAGGAAAGCCCCUUGAACACAGUAUGUCUCUCUAUUCACUUAGGCAUUUUUGCCAGAUUUAUCCCUAUGUAUUUCAUUUUUUGAAUGUCAUGUAAAUGAUUUUAAAA
ensembl:lncRNA